rnacentral:rRNA from 1 species
AUCCUGGCUCAGAUUGAACGCUGGCGGCAUGCCUUACACAUGCAAGUCGAACGGCAGCACGGGAGCAAUCCUGGUGGCGAGUGGCGAACGGGUGAGUAAUAUAUCGGAACGUGCCCAGUAGGUGGGGGAUACGCCCGGCGAAAGCCGGAUUAAUACCGCAUACGACCUGAGGGUGAAAGCGGGGGAUCGCAAGACCUCGCGCUAUUGGAGCGGCCGAUAUCAGAUUAGCUAGUUGGUGGGGUAAAGGCCUACCAAGGCUACGAUCUGUAGUUGGUCUGAGAGGACGACCAGCCACACUGGGACUGAGACACGGCCCAGACUCCUACGGGAGGCAGCAGUGGGGAAUUUUGGACAAUGGGCGCAAGCCUGAUCCAGCAAUGCCGCGUGCAGGAAGAAGGCCUUCGGGUUGUAAACUGCUUUUGUCAGGGAAGAAAUCUUCUGGGCUAAUACCCCGGGAGGAUGACGGUACCUGAAGAAUAAGCACCGGCUAACUACGUG